rnacentral:lncRNA from 1 species
UCCGACUAUGUUUAUAUGUACUUCGUUGUCUUGGAUGAAGUCUGUUUCGAGAUUUUUGGGGGUGUUUUCUGAGACCUCAUGGUCGAUGAAGAUUCCGACCUAUCGGACACCUUUCUGAGUUUUUCAUCGUGAUAUCGGAGUGUAUUUUCUUCACUCGAACGUUCUGGGAGAUUAUCUGAUGAUUUUUGGGUGACCUAUCGGCUUCUAGGGUUUCUGGCGGUUUAACCUAAAGUUUUACUGCUAUCCAGAAACGCUCCUCCUUCUCUCUACUUUCUCUCUCUACAUUCUUCAUCAUUUUUCGGUUUAAUCUCGAUGUUAACAUGGUAUCAAAGCCUAGACGACGAUCCGACUAUGUUUAUAUGUACUUCGUUUUCUUGGAUGAAGUCUGUUUCGAGAUUUUUUGGGGGUGUUUUCUGAGACCUCAUGGUCGAUGAAGAUUCCGACCUAUCGGACACCUUUCUGAGUUUUUCAUCGUGAUAUCGGAGUGUAUUUUCUUCUCCUGAACGUUCUGGAAGAUUUUCUGAUGAUUUUUGGUUGAUUUUUGGGUGACCUAUCGGCUUCUAGGGUUUCUGGUGGUUUAACCUGAAGUUUUACUGCUAUUCGGUGGCUCGAUUAUCACUCAGAGGAUGUUUUGGGUGACUUUC